GACGAACGCUGGCGGCGUGCUUAACACAUGCAAGUCGAACGAUGAAGCUGGAGCUUGCUCCGGUGGAUUAGCGGCGAACGGGUGAGUAACACGUGAGUAACCUGCCCUUGACUCUGGGAUAACUGCGGGAAACUGUAGCUAAUACCGGAUACGACCCUCGGAGGCAUCUCCUGGGGGUGGAAAGAAUUUCGGUCAAGGAUGGACUCGCGGCCUAUCAGCUAGUUGGUGAGGUAAAGGCUCACCAAGGCGACGACGGGUAGCCGGCCUGAGAGGGUGACCGGCCACACUGGGACUGAGACACGGCCCAGACUCCUACGGGAGGCAGCAGUGGGGAAUAUUGCACAAUGGGCGAAAGCCUGAUGCAGCAACGCCGCGUGAGGGAUGACGGCCUUCGGGUUGUAAACCUCUUUUAGCAGGGAAGAAGCGAAAGUGACGGUACCUGCAGAAAAAGCACCGGCUAACUACGUGCCAGCCGCCGCCGUAA
rnacentral:rRNA from 1 species